CCUAGACAGCCACCCUGGAGUCCUCCAUGGUCGCUGAGGGCAGGUCUUAGGGCAACAUCCAUCUUCCAGCUGGCAGAGGAGCUCCUUGUCAGAAAUGAGCUGGCAAAGGCACCAUGGGCUUGAACCUCCAGCAUCAUGAAGCAAAUGAACCUCUUCUGAAGCUGAACGUGAUGGCACCUGCCUAUACUCUCACAGGGCGAAAGCAGGAGGAUCACGAGUUCAAAGCCAGCCCGGACUACAAGUGAAAACCUACUUCAAAACAAACAUAAGAGAACCAAGGCCUAGGGUCUGUUGAGGUGACUCAGUGGGAAAAGGCUGUACAAAGGAGACAGACUUCAUGGUGGCUAGAAAGUGAAGGUCCUUCAGGAAGUGACAUCAGUGGUGACGCAAACACAUUCCUCUGCAGCAGAAGGCUGGCAAUCAGACACUGGAGGCGAAGCAGAAAUGUCCGGUUCCAGAGGCAUCUUGAAUGAAAAGUUUUAUUUCAUUUUGUUGUGAUGUUGGGAAACACAAGGCUGGCUUCCGUGUCACUGGCCAUGUGUGGCAGCAGAGAAAGAGAAACACCGAUUUCAGAUUUUGUUUUUCCUGAGAACUAAAUGAAUUACUACCUAUAUAACACUGAGACAGUUUUGACUCACAAUAAGGUCUACAUGAGUGUGAGCAACACAAACAAUGAAAAGCAACCACCACAGAAGUCCUAUCUCUAACUGAUGAGAGCCGAAUGAGGGUAACAGCCGAGCAGCGGGAGAGACGCUGUGCUGGAGUUCCAACUCAUGACCUGCAAAGCAAGAUGACCAAGGGUUACUACACCACAGAGGUGGGGCGAGUCACCGAGGGCUUCCUGUCGGCCACACGUCUCGCAAACACGCUGCGGUACUCAGGCCCCUGGCUCAGGAAACUUGAACAGAGAACUGCCAUCUUGGUGCCCGUAUCCUGACUAGAAGCGAUGGCGUCAUGGAGGAGCCCAGAAACAAGACCGCAUUGCAAGCUGAGCCUCCUCGCAGGAAGCUACGGGGUCACCGCUGCUUUUCCUUAGGCAGAGGCCAAAUCUUCAGCUUGCUCUCUUGGUAUCAAUUUGCUAUCUCUUAGCUUUCCCUCAGACCUUGAAAGCAUAUGUUUCGUUAGGCUAAAAACCAAACCCCAUCAUGAACAAGAAAGAUAACACUCUAAAAAUACCAGCUAUUCAUAACAUUCCUCCGCCUGCAAACUAUACUCUCCACUCCCUUCCCUGUGACCUUAGCCUAAUGUGCAGUUUCCUAUUUGUCCAAUGACUGGAGCAAGCUGAGAAAAACACAGCUAGAGUCAAGGGUGGGAACGGCCAUUAUCUCACUGAGCAUAUUUAUACAUUACAAGUGAAAUAUGGUCACCACGCUUUUAUUUUUUUUUCUCUAUAGCUGCCCACAUUAGAGGGUCCUUAAAGCUAAACAAAUAUGAAGAGAAUGUGCCAGAGACAGACCUGGUUCAAACUCCAGCACCCCAGGCUCGGAGACCUUAAAUACCAUCCUGAGGCUGUAAAAUCUUGUAAUUCCAUUGCCUGGCAGGAAUGGGGAUAUUCUAAUAGAAAAGACACAUGUAGCCUCCCCUUGGCUAUCAGACUGUUGGAACAAUGUACCCCAAGAAAGUGAAAUCCUCUCGGGGAUCUCAUGCUGGUAGAGGCCUAGGCCAGCCAGACGGGAAAUAAUUCGUCUGCCCCCAAAAGACUUGCAACUUGCCAGAUUACCUUGCAGGGCAGAGUGAAGCUGAGACUUUGGCGGGUCAAUGAUGGGAGGGACCACACCUUGACCAGAACUGUCCAGUUAUGCUCAUCUCUGGCCUCCUACCUAAACCCAACCCUCCUGUUGGGACUAAAGAUAUAUUAGGCAGAGGGUCACUGGAUAUCUGUUUUACUUCCCACUAUAACUGUAUUGAAUAAAUCCUUUUCUGUUUUCUACUAUUAAUUUGGCCCUUUUCAUUGGCUGAUUGGGUUAUGACCUUAACUGCAGUUAUGAUUAGUCUGUGGCAGGGCUCAAAUUCGGCCCUGUUGCAGUUGAUGCUGACUCAUGCUUUAACCAUGCUAUCUACUGUCCUUGGGAGGCGUUCCUUCCUCACAAGUGGAUCUCUCAUCUCCACUCUGUACAAAGGCAGAAUGCCUUCCCAUUGGCCUAUCCCACCCUCUGAUCACGAAGGUGCCUGAUGCAGAUUAGAGUGCUUCCAUUACUCCAGCUUCACAGUGACUUGUCAAAUCCUGCGCAAGAAGUUAGUGAAAUGGACAGAUCCUAUCUGUAAAUGAGGAUUUCCUGAGAGCCCAGAAUUCGGCUUGGGCUAAGAGAAUCUGCAUUCAUCUCUGUAAACAAGAGCUGGGCACAGUCUGUGCCGUGGCAGGGAUCACUGUGUGGACUGCGGCGUCCUCAGCCUGGAAUCCUGGGCCUUCUGUCUGAGUGAUUCAUUAAACCGGGGCUGUGUUUAUCACUGUGCCCGGCUCCCAGUCACAUGAGGUCUGUUUGUCCAGAGUAAACUGUUGGCCACGCUGGUUAUCAGUUUAUUGGCGACUAGUAUUUGAAAGGGAUUUCAAGCUUUUCCAAAGGGCAGAUCUUGCCUCUCGGACUCAGCAAUGUUGCUAAAUCAUCCCAAUUCAGUGGCUUCCUUUGAUAAGCCCACCCCAGAGAACUUGAGCUAUAGAACCUUCCUUGCUUCCUUGCACCCAGUCCCAGAUUCUUGGAUGAUAAUUAUCCUGGGGUUUAAUUUUCUCUAGAACACAAUCAAUAUGGGGAUAGAUCAUUUGCUGUGUAAAUUUAAUGACCCUGGCUGCUUCAAAAGCAUAGAAGAGAAUGAUUUUUAAAACAGUAGCUAACGCUGCACUGUGACACGCCAGCAUCAUGGCUUUAUCAUAAAAAUAACCCACUAGCACCCCACACCCCAGCUGUGCUGAUCCCUUUGUGAGUGGCUCUGCAUACACCCUCUCACACCCUGCUCUGCCCCACUCUCCCUGCCCAUCUGAUCACCGGGCGCUCCCCCAGAGAGUUCUCUUCUCCUCCCUUUCCUCUGUAGCCUCUCUGAAUGUCCUCUGUUCUAUUAAGAGGUUAAGAGCAUGAGCAAGGCCAUCUUCUAGCUGUGUAAGCUCAGGGAGCAUAUCUCUGGGUAUCAUUUUCCUCAUCAAUAAGACAGAGAUGUUAAUAAUGGAUCUACCAAUGAGGUCCUUGGCAGAGCUGACAAGGAAUGGACAGCAAGCAGGGGCAAACGCACCUGGCACACAAGGCAUGAGUUUUGACUGAGAACAAGAAUCGUCAUCACCACCACCACAGACAUCAUCUUUCUUUGAAUUCACCACUACCUAGGGAUGCCGUUAACUUCCCAGUCACCUAGUUGGUGAUAAAACCUCUAGGCUUAACUUUAAAACCAGAUUCCUAGGUGGAAACAUUUUCUGAGCCCCACCCCAUCUUACACCGACACAGGGUUAGGGGCACAUUUUCUCAUGUGUUGGUCCCUUAGUAACUUGCACUUCCUUAGGACAACAUUCAUCGUACCGUGGAAAAAUAGGCUGCUUCCUGUCUGACUUUCCCACUAGACUAAUGCUCCUUGAGAAACUGACCCUGAGAGCACUUGUCAAAGGAAUGAAAGAAUAAAAGGCCACGGACACACAGCUCCCCUAUGUGUAUAAGGAUAACUAAAAACCAUUCUCAAACAUAUGUUUAAAUCUAUAGAUCUCUGGACCUUGGCUGAGUUGGAGAGUGGUUUGUUAUGAAAUGACCUACAAGAGCAAGACUCGGCUUGCUCUGAGCUCACACGGGACAGACAGUAUGAUCAGCUGCUCUGUACUAUGGACUGGCCAAAGGCCAUGUGAUUGUACUGUCACAUGCUUAUCCAUUUCCCUCCCUUCUCUGGAACACUUAGGAAAUGGGAUCAUUUAACAUGAAGCUCAAUGCAACUACGUGUAUCUGAUAAACGAUUUCUCUUCAACAAUGUGACUAGGCUAACAGGAAUUGGUGCAUCUGUAUACAAGUAGAGAGGAUAUGAAUUCACUUUCUCUUGCACACUGUUCCAUUAUUGGCCACUUAGGGAUCUAUGAUGCUUCCAGGUCUGUGCA